GUGGGGAAUCUUGCGCAAUGGGCGAAAGCCUGACGCAGCCAUGCCGCGUGAAUGAUGAAGGUCUUAGGAUUGUAAAAUUCUUUCACCGGGGACGAUAAUGACGGUACCCGGAGAAGAAGCUCCGGCUAACUUCGUGCCAGCAGCCGCGGUAAUACGAAGGGGGCUAGCGUUGCUCGGAAUUACUGGGCGUAAAGGGCGCGUAGGCGGACAGCUUAGUCAGAGGUGAAAGUCCAGGGCUCAACCUUGGAAUUGCCUUUGAGACUGGCUGUCUUGAGUGUGGGAGAGGUGAGUGGAACCCCGAGUGUAGAGGUGAAAUUCGUAGAUAUUCGGAAGAGCACCAGUGGCGAAGGCGACUCACUGGCCCAAUACUGACGCUGAGGCGCGAAAGCGUGGGGAGCAAACAGGAUUAGAAACCCUGGUAGUCC
rnacentral:rRNA from 1 species